rnacentral:rRNA from 1 species
UACAGAGGGUGCAAGCGUUGUUCGGAAUUAUUGGGCGUAAAGGGAGUGUAGGCUGCUUGUUAAGUCUUCUGUGAAAUCCCCCGGCUUAACCGGGGAACUGCGUCUGAUACUGGAUGGCUUGAGUUCGGGAGAGGGAUGCGGAAUUCCAGGUGUAGCGGUGAAAUGCGUAGAUAUCUGGAGGAACACCGGUGGCGAAGGCGGCAUCCUGGACCGAUACUGACGCUGAGGAGCGAAAGCCAGGGGAGCAAACGGG